rnacentral:rRNA from 1 species
GACGAACCGUGCAAACGUUAUUCGGAAUCACUGGGCUUAAAGCGCGUGUAGGCGGGAGGGCACGUCCGGCGCUGAAAUCCCCCGGCUCAACCGGGGAACGGGCGCGGAGACGACCCUCCUGGAGGGACGUAGGGGGACCUGGAACUUCCGGUGGAGCGGUGAAAUGCGUUGAGAUCGGAGGGAACGCCCGUGGCGAAAGCGAGGUCCUGGACGUUUGCUGACGCUGAGACGCGAAAGCCAGGGGAGCGAACGGG